rnacentral:miRNA from 1 species
GCUCAUCCCCAUCUCCUUUCAG